ensembl:lncRNA
CAAUAAACUGAGGACCAUGAAAAUGAUUACUUGACAUAGUUACCAUCUUGUUUUCCAAGGAUACUGCUGAUAGAAGCUACCUUAAAACUGAUCUGCACCCAGUCUCAUUGGCAGACAGAAGUAUCUGCAGCUGGGAGAACUCCUCUUGGCCAGCCAGAGACCACAUUCAGAAGUCUGACUAACUCUGGCUAUUGUUUCCUAAAAGGACCUGUUCGAAAACAGUCGAUAGGUGAGACCUUCAAAUGGAACUGCCCAAAUGGGAUCACAGCCAAAGCUUAGCUGUGGAUUAAGCUGUAAAGGACUCCAUUCUCUGAAGCUGUACUGGAAACUUGUGGGACUGAUGUAUGGCCCCAUUUGACCAGCCUGGCUCUGCCUCCAGAGAGCAGAAAGCAUGAGAGCAAAACCCAAGGAGCUGUAGACUUCCC